rnacentral:rRNA from 1 species
GAUGAACGCUGGCGGCGUGCCUAAUACAUGCAAGUCGAGCGAACAGACGAGGAGCUUGCUCCUCUGACGUUAGCGGCGGACGGGUGAGUAACACGUGGAUAACCUACCUAUAAGACUGGGAUCACUUCGGGAAACCGGAGCUAAUACCGGAUAAUAUAUUGAACCGCAUGGUUCAAUAGUGAAAGACGGUUUUGCUGUCACUUAUAGAUGGAUCCGCGCCGCAUUAGCUAGUUGGUAAGGUAACGGCUUACCAAGGCGACGAUGCGUAGCCGACCUGAGAGGGUGAUCGGCCACACUGGAACUGAGACACGGUCCAGACUCCUACGGGAGGCAGCAGUAGGGAAUCUUCCGCAAUGGGCGAAAGCCUGACGGAGCAACGCCGCGUGAGUGAUGAAGGUCUUCGGAUCGUAAAACUCUGUUAUUAGGGAAGAACAAAUGUGUAAGUAACUAUGCACGUCUUGACGGUACCUAAUCAGAAAGCCGCGGCUAACUACGUG